rnacentral:rRNA from 1 species
UACGUAGGGUGCAAGCGUUAAUCGGAAUUACUGGGCGUAAAGGGCGCGUAGGCGGGAUGGCAAGUCGGUCGUGAAAUCCUUCGGCUCAACCGAAGAACGUCGGCCGAUACUGCCGUUCUUGAGGGAUGCAGAGGAGAUUGGAAUUCCCGGUGGAGCGGUGAAAUGCAUUGAGAUCGGAAUGAACACCAACGGCGAAAGCACUCUGCUGGGCCGACACUGACACUGAGAGACGAAAGCUAGGGGAGCAAAUGGG